AGAAAGUCAUACUUUUUAUAUAUAAGAAGAAACAAGAAGCUGUUGUACAAUGAGAGAGCGAUUUUGAUAUUGCAUUAUAUUCAUUUUAUUUUAUAGUAGCCUGUAGCAGUCCAUGUAUUCGCUGAAUGGUAAUUGAGAGAAAUGAUUUGGCCUUGUUUAUAGGUCAGGUUUUGGUAAAGAGUUGGAAGCCUUGUGCAGCUGACAUCCAUUCCACGGAGUGAUGCCAAUCUACACGUUCCAGACGUUUUUCCAGAGCUUUGUGGAUUCCCAGUCUAGGUGGCUGGGUGGCGAGCCAACCGUGUUUGUGACUCUGACUUUAGACGGAUUGCCAGGAUCUUCCUCAUCUUCAUGGUGGUAGGACAAACACUAACACAAACUUAAAAGGGCCCCAACGGUGAGAAAUGAACUCUUGUCAAUAAAGGCAAGUGGAACUGAGCUCAACAAAGUUAAAAGGAAAGUUUUUUUUGUGCGCACUUUAUUAUUUUAGUUUGUUAUUUUUCAUACCUGCUUUCUUAUGUAUGUACCAUCCCUGUGUAUUUAAUACACUUAAUGCAAACUGUCAUUCGGGUGUGGUAUUCUUUUUAUUGACAUUCAAUUCUCAGGCUCUUAACAAUUUAGUGACUUCUGAUUCUGGUCCACAUUGAUGAUAAGACUACUUUAGACUAUUACACCUAUGUACAUUAUUACUACCUCGUGAUAAGGGUUACACCAUUCUUUCUCACCCUUCUCUGUCCUUUUUACUUGUGUCCUGUUUUUCAGGGUCCCAUCAUAAUUUCUUAAGAAGCUGCCAUGUUAAAAAAAAUAUUUUGUGCCGCCAUGCUGUUUGUUGAUGUGGUAAAUAAAUAGUUUAUGAAAAUACCACUAAA